rnacentral:rRNA from 1 species
CACCGCGGUUAUACGAGAGGCCCAAGUUGAUAGAUGCCGGCGUAAAGAGUGGUUAAGGAAAAAUGAAUACUAAAGCCGAACAUCUUCAAAGCUGUUAUACGCACCCGAAGUAAUGAAGCCCAAUCACGAAAGUGGCUUUAUUGAGACCUGAACCCACGAGAGCUAUGGUA